AGCGAACGCUGGCGGCGUGCUUAACACAUGCAAGUCGAGCGGUAAGGCCCUUUCGGGGGUACACGAGCGGCGAACGGGUGAGUAACACGUGGGUGACCUGCCCUCAGCUCUGGGAUAAGCUUGGGAAACCGGGUCUAAUACUGGAUAUGACUCCAUGACGCAUGUUGUGGGGUGGAAAGCCUUGUGCGGCUGAGGAUGGGCCCGCGGCCUAUCAGCUUGUUGGUGGGGUGAUGGCCUACCAAGGCGACGACGGGUAGCCGGCCUGAGAGGGCGACCGGCCACACUGGGACUGAGACACGGCCCAGACUCCUACGGGAGGGCAGCAGUGGGGAAUCUUGCGCAAUGGGCGAAAGCCUGACGCAGCGACGCCGCGUGAGGGAUGACGGCCU
rnacentral:rRNA from 1 species